GAUUCUGGCUCAGGAUGAACGCUAGCUACAGGCUUAACACAUGCAAGUCGAGGGGCAGCAUAACGAAAGCUUGCUUUGUUGAUGGCGACCGGCGCACGGGUGAGUAACGCGUAUCCAACCUUCCCCUUAGUAGGGCAUAGCCCGGCGAAAGUCGGAUUAAUACCCUAUGUUUUCCGUUGAGGACAUCUGAAGUGGAACAAAGAUUUAUCGCUAGGGGAUGGGGAUGCGUCUGAUUAGGUUGUUGGCGGGGUAACGGCCCACCAAGCCGUCGAUCAGUAGGGGUUCUGAGAGGAAGGUCCCCCACAUUGGUACUGAGACACGGACCAAACUCCUACGGGAGGCAGCAGUGAGGAAUAUUGGUCAAUGGGCGAGAGCCUGAACCAGCCAAGUAGCGUGCAAGGAUGACGGCCCUAUGGGUUGUAAACUGCUUUUGCAUGGGAAUAAAGUGAGGGACGUGUCCCUUUUUAUAUGUACCAUGAGAAUAAGGACCGGCUAAUUCCGUGCCAGCAGCCGC
rnacentral:rRNA from 1 species